AGAAGCAGGAGGAGGAGGAGGAAGAGCAGGAGGAGGAGGAAGAGCAGGAGGAGGAGCAGGAGGAGGAGGAGAAGGAGCAGGAGGAAGAGGAGGAGAAGCAGGAGCAGGGGGAGGAGGAGGAGGCAGAGCAGGAGGAGGAGCAGGAGGAGGAGGAGGAGGUGUCAUCUGUGGACAAUACCUGGAAGGGCAAGGGGUGGUGGGUGUCACUAAAAGGAACCAGCCCCAGCUACUUCACUGCAGGCUGGUGCCCUGGUGAAGGUGAAUCAGUCAGAGGAGUGCUGACUGCCCAUGGGGCUGCACCAUAUCAUGGUUCCCACUAGCAAUAUAUGAGAGUUCCAGUUGCUCCACAACCUCGCCAACAUAUGACAGGUGCUGCAAGAGGAUGGUUAUUUAACGCUGGCCCCCAAGGAGGAAGGCACAGACCUUCCUCCUCCUGGAACAUCCAAGGGCACUGGAUCCUCUGUGUCCCUCUGAGAUGGGGUGCCACUCCAGCAAGAGCACCACGGUGGCAGCUGAGUCCCAGAAGCUUGAAGAAGAGCGCGAGGGAAGAGAGCCAGGUCUGGAGACCGGCACCCAGGCAGCAGACUGCAAGGAUGCCCCGCUGAAGGAUGGAACCCCUGAGCCAAAGAGCUGAAAUGCCUCUCUCCAGAGUCGGACCCUCACCUCCUUCCUGGAACUGCCUUUGGCCCCAGAACCAUGAGACAAUCCCCACCCUGAGAAGCUCCGAUCACUGGGAGGAGAGAGAAAGCCUCCAGCUUUGGGAUUCAGGCUUCAGAAGUUUUUAGCAGCCUUUGCUCAUUGGAGAGGUGGGGAGGAUAAGUCUAUAAGGAAUCCUAUUUCCCCAGCUCUCCCACAGAGAGGACAAAAGAAGUCUUCACACGUUGUGGAACUUUCCUGCAACUUCUGGAUGCAGACAAGCCUCAGAGCAGACUGUUCUGGCUCCAGUGAAUAUCGGCUGCCAAGCUGUGAGCAUCCAGGGAUCCCCGUCUGCCUGGCUUUCCUGAAGUCAGAAGGCGCCUUGGUCAUACUGUGUGGGGUCUGAAUACAGCAACAAGGUAGAGAAUUCUCUCUCUUUUCUUGAGCUGGGACAUCCAUCUUCUCUUGUCCUCAGACGUUGGAGCUCCUGGUUCUGGGAUUUUCAGACUCCAGGACUUAGACCAGUGGCCUCUCUGGUUCUCAUGCCUUCCGCCUCAGACUGAAUUACACCACUGGCUUUCCUGGGUCUCCAGCAUACCAAUGGCAUAACAUGGGACUUCUUGGCCUCCAUAAUAAUGUGAACCAAUUCCCAUAAUAAAUCUCCCCUUAUAUAUCUCGAUAUAUUCUGUUGGUUCUGUUUCUCUGGAGGACCCUGACUAAUAUAGGGGGUUAACUAGUUCUUCCAGCUCUCAAGGACACAGCUGGGGCUUGCACUAGGCAGUUUGCCUUUAGAGGCUGAGACUUGAGGAAUUCAUUUGGGAAUUGUGGGAACCCUUUUGGACCUCCAGGGUUGCUGUAAAGUUUAUUUUAAGGUGAAAAUAUUUGACCUGCAAAAGGUGUAGAAAUAACUCUUAUCUGAACUUCCCUUAUCUGACAAAAGCAGAGCCUCCCAAAAUUACAGCUCCAUUAACCCCACUCUGGGGGAGUUUACUGCAGAUUUAGCUGCCAAGAAGGCAGAUUGCCCAUUUAUUAGCAACAAAAAGCCCACUAGGACCUUCCACACUCCCUCAUUGAAGCCCUAAAAACCUCUCUCUUUUGUUAAGUUGAUAAUACAAACUUUUCCUUUGGGCUAUCCCAUGAGUUUUCUAUUAUGGAAACUCCGAUAUGCAAGUAGGAAAAAAAAUCCUUGUUAACUGGUCCUUUCUCAGUUAAAUUUGUGGGCCUCAAACUGCUGAACCCAACAUGGAAGAGGAAGAAUUUUCCUCCCAACAGAGUCAUCAGAACACAGCGGCAGCUAAAGCCCUUGUUGUAAGGGAAGAAGCUGAGGCACAAAAUAUAAUUUUAAAGCAUUUGAGGCCAGGCGCAGUGGCUCACGCCUGUAAUCCCAGCACUUUGGGAGGCCGAGGUGGGUGGAUCAUGAGGUCAGGAGAUCAAGACCAUCCUGGCCAACAUGGUGAAACCCCAUCUCUAUUAAAAAUACAAAAAUUAUCUGGGUGUGGUGGCGUGUGCCUGUAAUCCCAGCUACUCAGGAGGCUGAGGCACAAGAAUCCCUUGAACACAGGAGGCAGAGGUUGCAGUGAGCUGAGAUCGUGCCACUGCAUUCCAGCCUGGUGACAGAGCAAGACUCCAUCUCAAAAAAAAAAAAUUUGAUGAAGCCAACGUGAGGACAGCUGCCCGGGAAACACUUUCAACUUGGCUUGGGCAGUGUUCCAUUCAGCCCAGGUUACAGUCAGGUUUCAAAAGGCAAAAGGGAACAAGGGGUGGGCGGAUACAAAGUUGUCUGACAGGAAUUCUCAUUGGCUUAGGAAAUAACAUUGAUUAGUGAUUAGCUUUAAAUGUUGAACUACAGGGUAUGAGUUUUGGUGUCUAGCCUACGGCACUGUGUGGUUAAUUUUAUGGCUGCUUGGCAUCAAUCUAGAGCCCACAUAGCAAGUGGUUCCAAGAGGUGGUUACUUGAUUCAAGGCAGGAGUGAGAGGUGACUGCCACCACACUUCAGUGCCCUCUGGGUCUGAUAAUUUGGAGGGGCUGGCAUUCCUCAGGUACAGUAGAUAAGGUGCCUGCAUUCUCUCCCCACACACAUAUACCCUGAGGGGAGGCACUGCUUGGAGCAGAAAAGCAUCUAUCAAGGACAAAACUCUGGAAAAACCAACAUGUAAAGGGCAGGUGGAGUAGAUAAGCUGCAAAGGAGCCAGCGAUGGACUGGGGCUUGGAUUGAUGGGAGACGGUGACCAAUGGCUUCUGCUCACGGAACAUUCACCAAGUGCCAGGCAUUGAGCUCAAAGAUGCUUUAUAAAUGCUAUCUAAUUUGCUCCUCACAAAAGGUCUACCAGGAAGGUAAAAUUCAUACCUUACGGGUGAGACAGCACAUUUAUGAAGGUUGCAUGAAUUGCCCAAGUUAACAUAGCUAGUUAGUGGCAGAAUAGGAAUUUGAGCUCUAAAGACCAGGGUUUUAACCACAGCAGCGCAUUGAAUAGUCUCCUCCCAAACUUCGUGUCCACCUGGGACCUUUGAAUGUGACCUAAUUUGGAAAUAGGGUUUGAAGAUGUAGCCAAGUUAAUAUGUGGUCAUGCUGGAUUAGAGUGAGCCCUAAAUCCAAUGACUGGUGUCUUUUUUUUUUUUUUUUAGAAAGGGUCUCACUCUGUCACACAGGCUGGAGUGCAGUGGUGUGAUCACAGCUCACUGCAGCUCCAAACUCCUAGGCACAAGUCAUCCUCCCACCUCAGCCUUCCAAGUGGCUAAAACUACAGGCAUGUGCCACCAUGCCUGGCUAAUUUUUAAUUAUUUUUUUGGGAGGUGGGGUCUCACUAUGUUGCCCAGGCUGGUCUCAAAUUCCUGGGGUCAAGUGAUCCUCCUGCCUCAGCCUCCUAAAAUGCUGAUAUUAUGGGUGUGAGCCACCACACCUGGCUGACUGGUGUCUUCAUGAGAGAAAUGGGAGGAUUUGGACACAGAGACAUAGAGGAAGAAGACCAUGAGAAGAUGGAGGCAGAGAUGGGAGUUAUGCUGCUACAAGCCAAAGAACAGCUAUAACAAAGACUCCUUUGACCUAAUUCUGGUCGCACUCCUCUAAGCCCUCAAGGCCCUGACCUUUGGUCUCCGCAUCUGGCAUGUGUAGUCUAGUUCAGCUGGAUCAGUUUAGUGAAAAUCCCCCAUUCUUGAUAUCUCUCUCAAUAUCUUACCCUGGCCUGCCUUCAUCAAGAAUCUGCUGAGUCAGUCUAGCAAGAAUACCCCUUUAUCUCUGAUGUUUCCUCUCAGUGAUUUUUCCAUUCACCAAUCCCCAACUUGCUCCUUGGCUGUAAAUUCCCACAUUUCCUUGUUGUAUUCUGAGUUGAGUCCAAUCUUUCUCCCCUACAGCCAAAUCCCAUUGUAGUAGUCCCCCCGAAUAAAGUCUGCCUUACCAUCUUUAACAAGUGUCAUGAAAAUUCUUUCUUUAACACACAG
rnacentral:lncRNA from 10 species